GCCGGAGUGGCGGAAUUGGCAGACGCGUCGGAUUCAAAAUCCGAUGGGGUAACACCCAUGUGGGUUCGAGUCCCACCUCCGGUA
rnacentral:tRNA from 1 species